AUGGAGUGUGCUGGGCCAGGCCGGAGCCAGCCAGGGCAGCAGACCCGCUCAGAGCUUUCAGACAGAACCAGCUGCCGGGAGCAGGUGCCCAGUUUCAGCCGUGAGCCUCCUGCUUCUCCACACUCUCAGCUCGGAGUUCUGAUACACUCUUGGCUUCGCAGAGUCACUCAACAAACGUCUAUUGAGCACCUACUGUGUGCCAGGCGUUGCGUAGGCCCUGGUGACACAGGGUCAGAAGUGACUUUCUUCUCAGUAGUGACUUGGUUUGGAAUGUGCCCCUGGCUCCCUGGCAGCUUGGGCAGCAGAGGGCACGUUUGGCCGGUGAGCUAGAUGGACCAGGAUGCCUGUGGCUCUGUCCCCUGGGCGGCCACCCCAGCUGCCAUGCGCCCGCCCCUUGCUCUGUGACCUGUGCCCUUCCUCUGCCUGCGUGUGGACCAGCGUGUGGACCAGUGGCUGAGCCUGAGAGGGAGCACCUGGUGGAGGGACCCGCCCCUGCCGUCUUGACAGAGGACACAGCCACACUCUGCCAGCCCUGCCACUGCCGGCGGCCACUCCCUCACAGCCCAGCCUGGUCCUUGGCAGCCUCACCCCUUCUCAAGCCUUGUCUUAGCCAGCAGCCACCUCCCCUUCCAGCCCCCCAACCCCCAUGAUCCUUUAAAGGACCCCAGAGCCCCGAGGAGAGCAUCCCGUUUGGUCUCAGCGCCACAGCAGCCCACUCAGGUUUGUUCUGAAAUAAACCUGUCCUGUCGAGCUUGUGCCUUUCUUCUCCUUUCUUCCUAACUGGGAUGGCAGAGCCCGGAGUCCCUGCUAGACACAUGGAACCAGCCUGUGAUCAAGGACAUCCACCCCUUGGGGACCCCCAGCCUGCAGCUUCUGGUGACACGAUAAAGCCCCUGAGCUGGUUUUGGGGACCUGCAACACUGGGCAGUACUGGGAGGCUGGAGGGAAUGAGCCAACUUGAGGAUUCCUGGCAGAGAAAAGUAGCCCUGAGCCGAGAUGUACUUCGGUGACGCCUGAAAGUAUUUCUAGUGAGUGCUUAU
rnacentral:lncRNA from 1 species